UGAACACUUAGAUCCACCUCUGGAGGGUGUGCCUGUACUGGUGGUGUUGUCUCCGAGUGCUGCAGCUUCAGCCCAGAGGCUCUCAGCAGCUUUCUGGCUGUGCAGUCGGAGGUGUUUUAGUCAUUGGUGUUGUAGAGCAGUCUACCUGCCUCCCCAGCCCUCCUUCUGUACUGGCAACUCUGUUGUCAACCAGUGCAGCUUGGCUGGGGGGUGGACAAC
ensembl:snoRNA